rnacentral:rRNA from 1 species
GACGUAGGGGGCCAGCGUUGCUCGGAAUUACUGGGCGUAAAGGGUUCGUAGGCGGUGCGGUAUGUCGGGAGUGAAAUCUCUGGGCUUAACUCAGAGGCUGCUUCCGAAACUGCCGUGCCUCGAGUGCGGGAGAGGCGAGUGGAAUUACAGGUGUAGCGGUGAAAUGCGUAGAUAUCUGUAGGAACACCCCGUGGCGAAGGCGGCUCGCUGGACCGCAACUGACGCUGAGGAACGAAAGCUAGGGGAGCAAACAGG